UUCAGCCGCAGGAGGCUUAGUGGCAUAGAUUGGAGAGUCUGUCGAAUUAGCGGACUCUACUGGCAGAGUUGAAAUCGGAAGUAGGGCAGGAACAAAUGGAGUGUUGGCUCUCGAUGGAGCAAACCCUUUCUUAAGUAUGCAUUGAGCCAGCUGUGGGCGAUCACUGUCUUCUGUAUAUUGGGUGCUUCCCUCCACAUUUGGCCUCUUUUGAUCUUUCUUACCAGUCGUUAUUCUUGGUGGGGAAACGAUAGCACCUUCAUUCCCGCGAACCUCGUCUAGUAAAGCUAAGACAUCCAUGUUGACUGCUAGAACGAGCAUAGAGGUAUAAGAACUAGACAUAGACCCUGCAACAUAAACAAGAGAAUUAACCUGAUUGGAAGGAGUGGAAGACGUACCAUGACAAAUAAUGUUCCACUAGAGUGAAUGCAGUCUACAAUAAUCAUAGAAAAAGAAGGGAGGCUCCCUCAUCCUCUCUAUUAGAAUUCGUGCCAAAUACUUAUUAGAGUUUUUGGGUUGGGCUACUUUAGUAGAAGGGACAUUCUGAGAAAUCGCCCAUAAUAGAAUUUUAUUAGCUUGGCCGCCAUUGGGACUUAGACUUUGUAGACAGUAUUGGAAGACAUGUUUGACAAUGACAAUUUCUC
rnacentral:lncRNA from 1 species